rnacentral:piRNA from 1 species
UCCACUGUCGUUAAUGGAAGCUACAGCC